UACGAAGGGUGCAAACGUUGCUCGGAAUUAUUGGGCGUAAAGCGCACGUAGGCGGCCUUGCAAGUCGGAUGUGAAAUCUUAUGGCUUAACCAUAAAAGUGCAUCCGAAACUGCAGUGCUUGAGUACUUAAGAGGAUCGCGGAAUUCCCGGUGUAGAGGUGAAAUUCGUAGAUAUCGGGAGGAGCACCAGUGGCGAAGGCGGCGAUCUGGGAAGAUACUGACGCUGAGGUGCGAAAGCGUGGGGAGCAAACAGG
rnacentral:rRNA from 1 species